rnacentral:rRNA from 1 species
GAUGAACGCUAGCGACAGGCCUAACACAUGCAAGUCGAGGGGCAGCACAUGAGUAGCAAUACGAUGGUGGCGACCGGCGCACGGGUGAGUAACACGUAUGCAACCUGCCUGUAAGAGGGGAAUAACCCGGAGAAAUUCGGACUAAUACCGCAUAAUACCACGAGACUGCAUGGUUUUGUGGUUAAACAUUUAUGGCUUACAGAUGGGCAUGCGUAUGAUUAGAUAGUUGGUAGGGUAACGGCCUACCAAGUCUACGAUCAUUAGGGGUUCUGAGAGGAAGGUCCCCCACACUGGUACUGAGACGCGGACCAGACUCCUACGGGAGGCAGCAGUGAGGAAUAUUGGUCAAUGGGCGAGAGCCUGAACCAGCCAAGUCGCGUGAAGGAAGAAGGUUCUAUGGAUUGUAAACUUCUUUUGCAGGGGAAUAAAUGACGGUACGUGUACUGUUUUGUAUGUACCUUGCGAAUAAGGAUCGGCUAACUCCGUGCCAGCAGCCGCUGUAACAC